ensembl:rRNA 5S_rRNA 5S ribosomal RNA
GUCUAUGGCCAUACCAACCUGAACAUGCCUGAUCUUGUCUGAUCUCAGAAGCUAAGCAGGUUUGGGUCUGGUUAGUACUUGGAUGGGAAAAGGCAUUUCAGGAGACCCCAGGAACCAUAUAAA